GAAAGGAACCUAGCAGGGGCGCGCGGUACAGUCGCUGAUGUGGCACUGCGUGGCACUGAGGAGGAGCAGAGGAGAGGUCGCUAGAACUCGGAACUUGCCCCUGCCCUCACCCCUUUGACAGCAGGCCUUGCAUGAACAGACUCCUCUACCAUGUGUUCCAGUCAUGAUCUUCUGCCUCAUCACAGGCCCGAAAGUGACUGAGUCAAGCAACCAUGAGCUGAAAUCUCUGAACUAAAGACACCAAAAGCAGAUUGCACAAUCAAAUGAAAUACCAGAGUCAUCUGGAGGGUCACAAAAGUCAUCUCGAGAAGCAGCCGUUCCAACUGCCCACCUCAGUUUCAACCUCUGCAGACACCCGUUCCAGCUGCUGUUCUGGAGGAAGAACUGGGUCUCAGAACAACCGGAGACAUCUGUCAUUGAGCUGUAGAAACAAAGCAUUAUUCAGGCCCCUUUUCAAUCAGGGGAGCCAUGGGCGCAUCUCCAUGUCCUUCCUUUGUUGAGUUCCUUCUGUCCUCCAUUUUCUUGUGGGAUCUCAUGUCCGUCCCUGGGCAAUGUCUCUCGUUUCUCUCCUUCCUGCCCUUGGGUCCCUGGAAGAGCAUCAGAAAAAGGGUAAAAUGCACCAGCAACUGACCAUCUCACAUUGGUCCCAACAGCUAGACAGGAAGAACGCUCUGAUUUUGUAGCAGACACCAGUGCCUUACUUUCUAGUAACAAAUUAACAUCAACCCAAUUUAACAUAUUGAUAAAGGUUUCAAUUGUAAAGAAAAAGUUUUUACUAAACUUUAAUGUAAGGGCUAUGUGAUGAAUGCAGUGUUUAGAAAGGACAUCCAACCAAAGCCACAUUCUCCAGUGAUUGGCUAGGACGAGAGUGGUGGAAUCAUUUAUAGUAAGUACUUCACUUUAUUAAACACACACUAUUGUUCUAGGACCAGAGUAUAUAGCAUUAAAUAGAUUCUACCUUCUAGACACUCCACUAUUCAUGGAGUGACCCAAAGCAUCAGUACAUAAGCUUAAAGGGAAAUACAAAAAAGUAGCUGGUGGUUCACUAAUAACUCCAAUAAGGCUAUAUGAUAAGGAUCGUUGGGGGAGGGUUGGGUUCUUUCAUUUUGAUGCCCCAGGCAUGUCUUUCAGAGCAAAAUAAUGGCACUGAUAACUGCCUUCUCUAUGUGUAUUUAUGUAUCUGCAUAACAUACAAGAGAAUUCCUUCUCCAUCCUCUUGCUUGAACUAGAAAAUGAGGAGUUCAGGGCCCGUUAUGAGUGGUAGUCAUGUGACUGCCUCAGCCCUUCUGGUGCAAAGUUUUGGAGGUGUCUGGUUCAAGCAGUUGUUGUUUUUGGUUCCUCUAAGAAUAAACAAAUAUUUGCUUCAUUUCUAUCCAACAUGAUUCCUUCAUGAAGGUCAGAAGGAGAAACUAAUAAUGGAGCUGAGAUAAAAAUUAAGAGGAAAUUAAAAAUUAGACCAGCUCCGGGAAAGUUCUGACAAAUGUUUUUCAUUAGGUCAAUCACUAAUACUCAUGCAAUCAAAAUAUAUAUUUAGCAGUCAUGAAUGUCUCUAGUACUUAACAGAGCAAUAUAAAAAGAAAAACUACCGUGGUGAUUUUCUCCAGAUUAGCUUUCCUCUUACUGAGAUUAGAUUAUCUGAAAAACACUCAUCAAUAAUGAUCUCACAGAGGCUGACUACAAGUACAAGAUCAAGCCAGCCAAUGAGUGGGGGAGGCAUUCAUAAAGCCCCACCCCUAGGUGAGGAGCUGUUGACCGCUGAUGGUUGUUGGAGAAGGAAGAGUCAGCUUUCUUCAGGAAAGUCGUCCCUCAGAAAGUGCUGAUGCUCCAACAGUAGAUGGUCCUACACACACACACACACACACACACACACACACACACACACACA